rnacentral:rRNA from 1 species
GAUGAACGCUGGCGGCGUGCCUAAUACAUGCAAGUCGAGCGAACGGACGAGAAGAUUUCUUCUCUGAUGUUAGCGGCGGACGGGUGAGUAACACGUGGAUAACCUACCUAUAAGACUGGGAUAACUUCGGGAAACCGCAUCUAAUACCGGAUAAUAUUUUGAACCGCAUGGUUCAAAAGUGAAAGACGGUCUUGCUGUCACUUAUAGAUGUAUCCGCGCUGCAUUAGCUAGUUGGUAAGGUAACGGCUUACCAAGGCAACGAUGCAUAGCCGACCUGAGAGGGUGAUCGGCCACACUGGAACUGAGACACGGUCCAGACUCCUACGGGAGGCAGCAGUAGGGAAUCUUGCGCAAUGGGCGAAAGCCUGACGGAGCAACGCCGCGUGAGUGAUGAAGGUCUUCGGAUCGUAAAACUCUGUUAUUAGGGAAGAAAAUAUGUGUAAGUAACUGUGCCUAUCUUGACGGUACCUAAUCAGAAAGCAACGGCUAACUACGUG